rnacentral:rRNA from 1 species
CGAAACCUGCCCAGCAGAACGACCAGCGAACACGUGAUGCCCCGGUUGCGCCGGACGGGGAGCGGAGACGCCCCCCGCCCGGUAAAACGAACCCCCGGCGCGAUCCGCGCCAAGGAAAACGAAAAACGGAUCGGGCGCCCUGCAAGGACGCGCUCCCCGCGCUCUUAA